rnacentral:sRNA from 1 species
UAAUUACCCUUACGUAUCCCAGCACAUCCGUUUUCCUUGUAACGGUAUAAACAAGCAUGUCCAAUGUCCAAUGUGCUGGAAAGGUAUCUUACUAGUAACAAUUAUAUGAUAAUUGAUAAUGCUGCGUAAUAAGGCUCAACAUCAAACAAAGUGUGGCAUGGCAUGGCAUGGUAUGGCAAGGGGCUGAUCGCACUACAUGACCCUGGCAGAGCACAUGGGUUAGCAUCCCGUCCUCGUUUCGGCCGCGCUCCGUCGGGCCCCUGGCUAGGAGGCUAGGGGAUGCCAAUGACAUUAUCAUCAUCAGGCUGCUUAGGCGGGAUACAAUUAUCAAGUCACUGCGCAA